rnacentral:rRNA from 1 species
GGUCAAGUUAUUAAGGGUGCAGGGCGGAUGCCUUGGCACUAGGAGCCGAUGAAGGACGUGAUAAGCUGCGAUAAGCUUCGGGGAGUUGCACGUAAACUUUGAUCCGAAGAUUUCCGAAUGAGGAAACUCACUUAGAGUAAUGUCUAAGUAUCAUUAAGUGAAUACAUAGCUUAAUGAGGGGAACUCAGGGAACUGAAACAUCUAAGUACCUGAAGGAAGAGAAAGAAAUUCGAUUCCGUAAGUAGCGGCGAGCGAACGCGGAUUAGCCCAAACCAAUAAAGUUUUCUUUAUUGGGGUUGCGGACAUAUCAUAACGAAGAGGUAUCGUAAUUGAAGAGGUUUGGAAAGACCCACCACAGAAGGUAAUAGUCCUGUAUGUUAAACGAGAAGACUUCAGAUAUGAUCCAGAGUACCACGGGACACGUGAAACCCUGUGGGAAGCAGGAGGGACCACCCUCCAAGGCUAAAUACUACCUAGUGACCGAUAGCGUAUAGUACCGUGAGGGAAAGGUGAAAAGAACCCCGGGAGGGGAGUGAAAUAGAACCUGAAACCCUGCACUUACAAGCUGUGGAAGCACAUUUCUUGUGUGACCGCGUACUUUUUGUAGAACGGGCCAACGAGUUACGUUAAGUAGCAAGGUUAAGCACUUAAGGUGUGGAGCCGUAGCGAAAGCGAGUUUUAACUGAGCGUUCAGUUACUUGACGUAGACCCGAAACCGGGCGACCUACCCAUGAGCAGGAUGAAGCGAAAGUAAAAUUUCGUGGAGGUCCGAACCCACGAGCGUUGAAAAGCUCGGGGAUGACUUGUGGGUAGCGGUGAAAUUCCAAUCGAGCCCGGAGAUAGCUGGUUCUCCCCGAAAUAGCUUUAGGGCUAGCCUCAAGGUGAGAGAUACGGAGGUAGAGCACUGAAUGUCCUAGGGGGUAUUGCACCUACCGAAGACUAUCAAACUCCGAAUGCCGUCAUCUUAUACUUGGGAGUCAGACUGUGGGUGAUAAGAUUCAUAGUCGAAAGGGCAACAGCCCAGAUCGUCAGCUAAGGUCCCUAAAUGUAAGUUAAGUGGUAAAGGAUGUGGGAUUGCACAGACAACCAGGAUGUUGGCUUAGAAGCAGCCACUCAUUCAAAGAGUGCGUAAUAGCUCACUGGUCGAGUGAUCCUGCGCCGAAGAUUUCCGGGGCUAAAACUUACUACCGAAGCUACGGCAUCAGUAAUGAUGGGUAGGGGAGCUUCCCAUACGGGUUGAAGCAUGACCGUAAGGACAUGUGGACAGUAUGGGAGUGAGAAUGUUGGCAUGAGUAGCGAGAUGUGGGUGAGAAUCCCACAGGCCGUAAACCCAAGGUUUCCAGGGGAAGGUUCGUCCGCCCUGGGUUAGUCGGGACCUAAGCUGAGGCCGAAAGGCGUAGGUGAUGGACAACAGGUUGAUAUUCCUGUACUACCGAUAACCGUUUGAGAGAAGGGAUGACACAGUAGGAUAAGCUAAGCACACUGUUGGUUAUGUGUGCCCAAGCAUUGAGGCAGUCAAAGUAGGCAAAUCCGCUUUGAUAAUGCUGGGAUGUGAUGGGGAGCGAAAUUUAGUAGCGAAGUAGCUGAUUUCACACUGUCAAGAAAAGUCUCUAUCGAGGUUAAAGGUACCCGUACCGCAAACCGACACAGGUGGGUGAGGAGAGUAUCCUAAGGCCAGCGAGAGAACUGUUGUUAAGGAACUCGGCAAAAUGACCCCGUAACUUAGGGAUAAGGGGUGCCACCAUCAGGUGGCCGCAGAGAAUAGGCCCAAGCGACUGUUUACCAAAAACAUAGGUUUCUGCUAAGUCGCAAGACGAUGUAUAGGAGCUGACGCCUGCCCGGUGCUGGAAGGUUAAGGGGAUCUGUUAGAGCAAUCGAAGCAGUGAACUUAAGCCCCAGUAAACGGCGGCCGUAACUAUAACGGUCCUAAGGUAGCGAAAUUCCUUGUCGGGUAAGUUCCGACCCGCACGAAAGGCGUAACGAUUUGGGCACUGUCUCAACAACAGACUCGGUGAAAUUGUAAUUCCGGUGAAGAUGCCGGAUACCUGCGACAGGACGGAAAGACCCCAUGGAGCUUUACUGUAGCUUGACAUUGGGUCUUGGUACUACAUGUACAGGAUAGGUGGGAGGCUUUGAAACCAGGACGCCAGUUUUGGCGGAGCCAUCCUUGGGAUACCACCCUUGUAGUACUGGGACUCUAACCAUAGGCCAUGAAUCUGGUCUUGGGACACUGUCAGGUGGGCAGUUUGACUGGGGCGGUCGCCUCCCAAAAGGUAACGGAGGCGCUCAAAGGUUCUCUCAGUACGGUCGGAAAUCGUACGUAGAGUGUAAAGGCAAAAGAGAGCUUGAUUGCAAGACAUACAGGUCGAGCAAGGAUGAAAAUCGGACUUAGUGAUCCGGUGGUUCUGCGUGGAAGGGCCAUCGCUCAACGGAUAAAAGCUACCCUGGGGAUAACAGGCUUAUCUCCCCCAAGAGUCCACAUCGACGGGGAGGUUUGGCACCUCGAUGUCGGCUCAUCACAUCCUGGGGCUGUAGUAGGUCCCAAGGGUUGGGCUGUUCGCCCAUUAAAGUGGUACGCGAGCUGGGUUCAGAACGUCGUGAGACAGUUCGGUCCCUAUCCGUCGCAGGCGUAGGAAAUUUGAGAAGACCUGUCCUUAGUACGAGAGGACCGGGAUGGACGUACCUCUGGUGUACCAGUUGUUCUGCCAAGGGCAUGGCUGGGUAGCUAUGUACGGAAUGGAUAAGCGCUGAAAGCAUCUAAGCGCGAAGCCAACUUCAAGAUAAGAUUUCCCACCGCAAGGGUAAGACCCCAGAAAGACUAUCUGGUUGAUAGGUCGAAGGUGUAAGUGCAGCAAUGUAUUUAGCUUAUCGAUACUAAUAGGUCGAGGACUUGACCAA